CACCAGUGAGGAAGACAUCCUAAGAAUAGGAAGUGUCGUAUGACUCUUUAAACAACAGCGAUGGC